AUUGAACGCUGGCGGCAGGCCUAACACAUGCAAGUCGAGCGAGCGGCGGACGGGUGAGUAAUGUAUGGGGACUGCCCGAUAGAGGGGGAUAACUACUGGAAACGGUGGCUAAUACCGCAUACUAUCGGAUAACCCAUAUGGGAUUAGCUCGUAUGUAAGGUAAUGGCUUACCUAGGCCACUAUACCUAGCUGGUCUGAGAGGAUGAUCAGCCACACUGGGACUGAGACACGGCCCAGACUCCGACGGAGGCAGCAGUGGUGAAUAUUGCAAAAUGGGCGCAAGACGGAUGCAGCCAUGCCGCGUGUAUGAAGAAGGCCCUAGGGUUGUAAAGUACUUUCAGUCGGGAGGCGUUACCGACAGAAGAAGCACCGGCUAACUCCGUGCCAGCCGCCGCGGUAAUUC
rnacentral:rRNA from 1 species